CCCUGGCUCAGGACGAACGCUGGCGGCGUGCCUAAUACAUGCAAGUCGAACGAAUCUCUGAAGGAGCUUGCUCCUGAUGAGGUUAGUGGCGGACGGGUGAGUAACACGUAGGCAACCUGCCCUUAAGAUCGGGAUAACAUUCGGAAACGGAUGCUAAGACCGGAUAAACAAUUCGGCUGCAUGGCUGGAUUGGGAAACACGGAGCAAUCUGUGGCUUAGGGAUGGGCCUGCGGCGCAUUAGCUAGUUGGUGGGGUAAAGGCUCACCAAGGCGACGAUGCGUAGCCGACCUGAGAGGGUGAACGGCCACACUGGGACUGAGACACGGCCCAGACUCCUACGGGAGGCAGCAGUAGGGAAUCUUCCACAAUGGGCGAAAGCCUGAUGGAGCAACGCCGCGUGAGUGAGGAAGGCUUUCGGGUCGUAAAGCUCUGUUGCCAGGGAAGAAUAAGAGCCAGUUAACUGCUGGUUCGAUGACGGUACCUGAGAAGAAAGCCCCGGCUAACU
rnacentral:rRNA from 1 species